rnacentral:lncRNA from 1 species
GGCAGUGGUGUGAAGGAGGAAAGGAAGUGGGAGUGAGCAGCUGAAGCAGGAAGACCAAUAAAAAGACUGCUGAAAUGGUCUGUGUGAAGAUGCUGCGAGCUGGAAAGAGGUCAGAGCAGCCAGGCAGGAAGCAGAGGAAUGGUGGCAUACAAUUUCCAAGACUGGUACCUGAGUUGGAGAAGCAGGGGAGAAGUUCAGGAAGAACUGGAACAGAAGAGAAGGAGCCAUUAAUUGCUUUUUCAAGAUAUGUCUGAAGCGAGGACAAAAGCAAAGAACUUCAUUUGGGAAUUUGGUGUAGUGAUAAAGGAGGGAAGAGAGAAAGCAGAAGUGCCCAGUGGCUUUUUCCUUCUGUGCUAUUCAACAAGGCAGCCCAGUGUUCAACCCUAAAGAAGGUAAAACAAACAACGCAAAGAGGGAAUUUCAGUUUCAGAUAGGCUCUUGCCUAUUGAGCUAGUGAGAGACAGCCUAGUCACUUCAAGUGGCCUCAAGAAUCCAGGCCAGUAUGAAUUGGAUUACAGGGCCUCAAGGAAUUUCAGAAUCACUAACAGUCAUCUUUGAGAGAUUAUGAGAAGCAGAAAAAUAAUAAUGGAAGACUGAGGAGAGUAAGGGAUUGUCAGAGAAAGUAAUAUUUGCUCUUUGCUGCUACAGAGAACCAAAGCAAAACCAAUGAAUUUCAGUUAUAAAUAGAUAUGAGUGUCAAUGAAAGGAGGGAAGUUAUAUGUGGAAUCUUAAAAAGGUGGUGGGGGGCGGGUGUACAAAUGAACUUAUUUGCAAAACAGAAAUAGAGUUACAGAUGUAGUAAACAAAC